rnacentral:rRNA from 1 species
UCUGAGAGGAUGGUCAGCCACACUGGGACUGAGACACUGCCCAGACUCCUACGGGAGGCUGCAGUCGAGAAUCAUUCGCAAUGCGCGCAAGCGUGACGAUGCGACGCCGCGUGGAGGAUGACGGCCUUCGGGUUGUAAACUCCUGUCAUGAGGGAACAAAGCUUGCGGGUUAAUACCCCGGGAGUGUGAUGGUACCUCAAGAGGAAGUCACGGCUAACUCUGUGCCAGCAGCCGCGGUAAUACAGAGGUGGCAAGCGCUGUCCGGAUUUACUGGGCGUAAAGGGUGCGUAGGCGGUACGGUAUGUCGGAUGUGAAAUCUCGCAGCUCAACUGUGAAACGUCAUUCGAAACUGCCGAACUAGAGUACUGGAGAGGAGAGCGGAAUUCUUGGAGUAGCGGUGAAAUGCGUAGAUAUCAAGAAGAACACCGGUGGCGAAGGCGGCUCUCUGGACAGUUACUGACGCUGAGGUACGAAAGCCAGGGGAGCGAAGAGGAUUAGAUACCCUCGUAGUCCUGGCAGUAAACGAUGUGCACUUGGUGUGGGGAGGAGUUAUCCCCUUUCCGUACCGGAGUUAACGCGUUAAGUGCACCGCCUGGGGAGUACGGCCGCAAGGCUAAAACUCAAAGGAAUUGACGGGGGCCCGCACAAGCGGUGGAGCAUGUGGCUUAAUUCGAUGCAACGCGAAGAACCUUACCUGGGUUUGACAUGCCCGUCGUAUUCUCCUGAAAGGGAGAAGUCAGUUCGGCUGGACGGUGCACAGGUGCUGCAUGGCUGUCGUCAGCUCGUGCCGUGAGGUGUUGGGUUAAGUCCCGCAACGAGCGCAACCCUUGUGUUUAGUUGCCACUCCCGAUUCUGUCGGGAAGCACUCUAGACAGACUGCCCGUGACAAGCGGGAGGAAGGAGGGGAUGACGUCAAGUCAGUAUGGUCCUUAUACCCAGGGCUGCACACGUGCUACAAUGGCCGGUACAGAGGGCGGCGACGCCGCGAGGCGAAGCAAAUCCCCAAAACCGGUCUUAGUUCGGAUCGCAGUCUGCAAUUCGACUGCGUGAAGUUGGAUCGCUAGUAAAUGCGUAUCAGCAAUGGCGCAUUGAUUCGUUCCCGGGCUUGUACACACCGCCCUCACAUCAUGAA